rnacentral:rRNA from 1 species
AGAAUCAACGCUGGCGGCGUGCCUAACACAUGCAAGUCGAACGAGAAAGUGGAGCAAUCCAUUAGUAAAGUGGCGCACGGGUGAGUAACACGUGACUAACCUACCUUUUAGUGGGGGAUAACCUAGGGAAACCUGGGCUAAUACCGCAUAAUACCUACGGGUCAAAGCAGCAAUGCGCUGAAAGAGGGGGUCGCGGUCGAUUAGUAGUUGGCAGGGUAAUGGCCUAACCAAGACUGUGAUGAUA